UCCCAAGCCUUCUGGCGAUCUCUUAAAAUAAAGCCUUCCAUGUUUUUAACAAACAUGGCUUUUAGGUACCUCUUUAAAUUCUUAUGAAUAUUAAAGAUCAGGGAGGUUAAAAAAGAGCUUUAACAAAGAAAGCGACUUAAAAACUUUCCAUUGAUAUAAGAUGAUACCGGGGAAGGUUUUCCGGUUUGUUCCGGAGGGCUUGUAGCUCAGUUGGUUAGAGCGCGCGCUUGAUAAGCGUGAGGUCGGAGGUUCAAGUCCUCCCAGGCCCACCAAUUACUCUAUCAAUCUAUAAGCGCUUGAGAAAUUUACUCAUAGGAAAUAUUCCGUAUCAAUUUGUAAGAAACUUACUUUUACAAAAUUAUGCUUUCUCUUUGAUUUUAAAGUCCAGAUUUUUAAAACCAAAGUUAAAGUGGUCUCAAGAUAAAACGGUGUUUUGAGGCACAGUGCAAAACAUACCGAUCUAAGUGAUGAAUAGCGGUUUAAGUGAUCUUAAAUUUGAGUGUUUCAAGUGCGUUAUGUUAUUUUUAGGGGCCGUAGCUCAGCUGGGAGAGCACCUGCUUUGCAAGCAGG
rnacentral:misc_RNA from 1 species